rnacentral:sRNA from 1 species
UUCAUAUAUUUUCCUCUCCGCUUUGAAUUGUCUCGUUGUCCUCCUCACUUUCAUCAGCCGUUUUGAAUCUCCGGCGACUUGACAGAGAAGAACAAGGAAGAAGACUAAGAGAGAAAGUAAGAGAUAAUCCAGGAGAUUCAUUCUCCGUUUUGAAUCUUCCUCAAUCUCAUCUUCUUCCGCUCUUUCUUUCCAA